rnacentral:lncRNA from 1 species
AUUCCUAAGUCAAGUCUUUGCUGUUACCAUCAAUAACUGCUAACUCAGAGGAUGCAACCUUAGUAAUUCAUUUCCUUAAUGGCCAGUUUCACAAAGAGGCUGCAGGAAGCUGCUUCCAGCAGUCUGAGUCCUGAGGAGGAGACGAUAACAGUGGGAGAAGCACCUGGUAACAGCGGCACUUCAUCCAGGAAGAAAACAGGAUCUAAAAUAUAAACAACAUCCUUACAACACAAAAUAUGAGCGUCCAUCAUGGACCAACCAAUAACUUCAAUAAAAGUGCUGUAUCCCCUGGCAGAUGAUGAGUAUCUUCAAGAUGAUUGGGACCAGAGCAGCCAGCAGAUGUUUUCAAUUUUGGGCCCUUUGUUUGCUGUGGAAGAUGCACCUUUGCUGAGCUUGGCUGCUGAAUGGACGGCCCUCGCUGAGCUUGUCAGCCUUAACACUGGAAGGUCAAAGCUGAAUGAGGAACAGUAGCAAAAUAUUCAAAGUGUCUCCUGGUGACACAGAAGUGUAAGUUUCUGAGCAACCUUGAGGAAUCAAGUAAUAGGCGAACACCAGAACAUCCAAGCAUCAAGCCAAGGAGGCAGUGGGC